rnacentral:rRNA from 1 species
GCAACCCGACUACAUGAAGCUGGAAUCGCUAGUAAUCGCGAAUCAGAAUGUCGCGGUGAAUACGUUCCCGGGUCUUGUACACACCGCCCGUCACACCAUGGGAGUCGGAAAUGCCCGAAGUCUGUGACCUAACCGUAAGGAAGGAGCAGCCGAAGGCAGGUCGGAUGACUGGGGUGAAGUCGUAACAAGGUACC